UCAUUUCUUGCCUCAGAUGUAAUUCCCUUUGCUAGUUUAUAUUUUGUAUGCAGAGUAGUUACUUUUUUAAUCUAUAUGAAGGGUUAAUUUUUUGAUAAUAUUUCUGACAAUCACAUUGCAAAUUUCUUUUCAUAGUUUUGUUAACUAUGGCCCUUGGUUUUGCUCUGUAGAAUUCUUAGCAUUGUUACUCGUGUAAAAAAUUAUUUUAUGAUGAUUACGGAGAAUACUUACAUAAUAGGGAAUUGUUUGCAGUAGAGGAGCCAUUAUAGAUAGGACCUAAGUUUGGGCUACUUCAAAUUUGGUUUUGAAGGAUUUUUAGAUUCUACUUGGGUUUCUCAGGGCUGUGUAACAUGGGCUGGGUCAGAGACUCAGCUAAUCCCCAAACCUAGUCCUGAUUAAUCCUCUCCCUGACCCCAAAAGAGCUGACACAGAGAUAGGCUUGUCAGGUAUCUCUGUGUUUUCUGCUGUGUUAAUUUAGUCUGUCAAUACUGUUGUAUGUAGGGGUUCUAAGAGGAAAUUCUAUAACUUCCGGAUUGUGUAGUUUUCACAGUAAAAAGAACCAUUGUCAACUGACUCUCAUCCUGAGAGUUAUUUAGAAAUUUUAAAAUACCAUUUUGUUCCUGAAUAAAGUUGUAUUUUUGGUAAACUGGUAAUUUUUCAAUAGUUAGACUUCCUUGGAGUAACCAGCUGAAUUAAUUUCUGUAUUCUUUAUCAAAUAUCUGUGAUACCUAAAUUCUCACUUGUAGGAUCUAAUCUGAAGGUCUCAGGCCCGGUAAAGAAACUCUGCAACUAUAGAAAUUGGUUAGGUGCCAAGUAGAUCUUAAAAUGGGGUAAUUUUUCCAAGUAAGUAUUUGCCAGUAACAUGUUAAUCAUAAAGAUAACUUACCCCCUUGUUUGCUUUGCCUUCCUCAAAGGCAGUAGUGUUGGGACAUUUUGUAAAUGCCAGCUCUGGCCCCAGGUUCCUUACUGUCCAGAGCAUUGUACAUAAUUCCUAAGACUUGAUGCUUUGUCUUGAUAUUUUCUCUCCUUUCCUCCCACCCCAUCUUUCUCCUUUUUUUACUCUCUUUGUUGCGGUGAUGAGUUCCUUCCAGAGGAAAAACAAGAAAUCCAGAGAAGGCCAGGAUCACCAGACAUCUGAAAAAUAAUCAGGUUCACCUACAGAGCAAGGAAAGAAAGACUUUUCUCAGAAAAAAAGGAAAUCCAGACAACCAACACUGCAGAGAACAGAGCCUGAGCCCCUAAGCAACCUGCCAAGAGAACCAGAGGAACCAAAUGAAGAGCCUUACUGCAGUUUAUCAUUUGAAAAGCUUUGUAGGAAGAGGGAGGUGAGCCUGGCAUUUGCUAGGAACCAGAGUGGACCCGGCAAAGUGGCCAGCAACAGAGUCCUGAUGCAAAUGGAGAAAGGGAACCAGGCGUACCUCAACCUGGAGUGGGAAACUUGAUAGGAG